rnacentral:rRNA from 1 species
CCUACGAGAGGCAGCAGUGAGGGAUAUUGGUCAAUGGGGGAAACCCUGAACCAGCAACGCCGCGUGAGGGAAGACGGUUUUCGGAUUGUAAACCUCUGUCCUCUGUGAAGAUAAUGACGGUAGCAGAGGAGGAAGCUCCGGCUAACUACGUGCCAGCAGCCGCGGUAAUACGUAGGGAGCAAGCGUUGUCCGGAUUUACUGGGUGUAAAGGGUGCGUAGGCGGCCCUGCAAGUCAGAAGUGAAAUCCAUGGGCUUAACCCCCGGACUGCUCUGGAAACUGUACGGCUGGAGUGCAGGAGAGGUAAGUGGAAUUCCUAGUGUAGCGGUGAAAUGCGUAGAUAUUAGGAGGAACACCAGUGGCGAAGGCGGCUUACUGGACUGUAACUGACGUUGAGGCUCGAAAGCGUGGGGAGCAAACAGGAUUAGAUACCCUGGUAGUC